GUAUUGUAUUGCGUUAAACGCGUCAUGCAUUCCAUGAGACUUUGUUACAGAGUGUGUGUAAAGACGUAGGACCACAACAGGAGGACAGAGUCCCCCAUUCCACGGAACUACAGAGGGUGCACAGGUGUGAGUGGAUGUGUAAACAGAGCGUGCCCAUGCCCCCGUUUUGAGGACCAGCAACAACUCGUGUUGACAAUUCGGUAAUGAUCCUUCCGCAGGUUCACCUACGGAAA
rnacentral:misc_RNA from 1 species